rnacentral:lncRNA from 1 species
GCAAGAUGGAAUUUCAGUCGCAAUGCGUGCAUCAACUUUCCGACAGGCUCCGUAGAUCACCUGAAAACAGUGCAUAACAGAGGACAGAGAAAACCCGUUCCCUUCCAUUGUCCGCGAAUGCGUCCUUCCCUCUUGAAAUCAAAAAGUCGAAAAUCCAAGUCCUGCCAACCCGUUCUGAAGACAUGCCGCAAGUCUCCGCGCUCGCGCCGCGAAACCAACCGCCCCGAAGAGCUAGCUCACGCGCGCGUCGCGCCUGUCUUGAACUGUCUCCUUUUUGAAACUCUGUAUCGCCCCUUUCUGAACUCGGGACUCUCCAGGGGCAAAAACACCUCCGUGUAUGUGCGCAUCUACGAACUAUCGGUUCACGUGCAGGCGAAAGGCACAUACGCCCCGGCACACACACACACACACACGGCUGUGUCGCUCUCUCUCCGCCUGCAGGUCCGUGCACACGCGGGUGUACAAACACCGACGUGACCGGUGCGCGUUGCCCGCGAGUGCGUCUUCUUGGCUGCGGCUGGAAGCUUACUUGCUUCAUAUCUCGAUCGGUCAACCAUCCCGUGGCGGAGUCCCCCAUAGAACCGUCUUCGCCGUCCGAAGUAUCCAGAGGAAUCGAGGCAGUGCUUGAGUCUUCCGCGCCCGAAGCUUUCCUCGCCUUCUCCUGCUGAAGAAGCAGCAACUGCGAGGCAAGUUCCGACGGAAGCGCCUCUUUAACGAAGGCAGCAGCCUGGCGGCCUCCGUGCCCGUCGAGAACGGCAAAGAGUCUGCAUGUUCGCUCGGAAAGACAGCAGUGCAGGAGACCGAGGGAGGUGAGGAAGAGGAAACGACGCAUUCCUCUUCCGGCGAAGACAGGAAAAAGUCUCGGCAGCGAUAAAGAAAGGACAGCGGCAGGCGGGUGAAGCAGCCGACGCAAGGAGACAAAAAAUGUGUAUGCGGGAAACACGGACCCACGGACCUACACGCUAACAAAGUCUAAAACAACGUUGCGCCCCGCAUUCCGUCCAUACUGUAUACACCGGCGUAGAGAGGUUAACAUCAAUUCACAAAUGUCUACAUGGGUAUAUGAAUACACCUCCUACGAAUCGGCGGGCCUCUGCGAGGGCGAAGCAGUCAACAAGUCGCUUGUCUCUCUCUGUGACUGGUGUUUUACAAAACUGGAAGAGCCAGCAAGGCGCGGCUGUGGACGGCACAGUCUCGAAUUCUGCCUCAUUUUCGGGCGGCGACCUUUAUCCUCUGUCCGCCGCGACAAGACCCGGUGUUCCUCCACGGGCCAACCCGGCGAAUUCUUUCAGAUCGUUUAUUCGCGUACGCAAAGUCGUAGUCCGGCGAAAGCGACGGUUGGAAGGGAAGGAGCGACCGCACCAGCACGUGCUCGUCUUCCAUCUGCUUUCUCAUGCCUUUGUCGCCGUAGCAUGCCGCCAGCAGCCGAUACGUGCCUAAACCGAGGGCAAACACAAAGAGAAGAAGUCGUGGCGUUGCGGCGAAGGUUCGCGGCGCGGCAAACGCGUACAUCCGUGCGCAAACGCCGGAAAACGAACUGGAAAACACAGAUACAUCCGUUUCUCCCAGGCUGUUCGUCCUGAGGGCGGGUGAAGAGCCAGGGGAAACGAUCGUGCUUGCUCAAGAAAGAAGCGGAGAGGGAGAAGGUUUUUCGCUCGUCACUUUUGGCCGUCGCGAGACAGCCACAGAGGAGCAGGGCGGGAGCGAGAGAAGGUAUUCGUGGACACACUGCGACGACGGAGGUGGACGAAGGCUCGAAACACGUGCAAGUGCAUACAGCGCGCGCGGCGGUCACACGUACACGGCGGCGCAGAAAACGAAAAGGAAAGACGCAUCCCUCCAGAGGAUCCGGGGUUCACACAGAACAGAAACGCGGGUUCCCCAAGAACCGGAGAGCGCGCAUCUCUCCCGGUCGAACUGUUAGGCGCGGGUUUCCGCCUCGCCUCUGUGUCUGUGUCCUACGCCUCCCACGAGUUUUUGCCACCAACUUGGAGCGUUCUGCCCGGAGUCCUCCCCGUCAAAAAAGCAGAAUGCAAAUCGUCAACUCGAUCGGUCCCUGUGUAGGGCCAGUUGAACUGGCCGCACGGUCGAUUUCUAGACUCUUUUUUCUUAUUGUUUGCGUGUCGGGUUUGAGAUAUGAAACAGCCGCCGCGAAUAUGGUGCGGAGAAAUCGACAGGGGGAAAGGAAAAGUUUUUGCCCACCGAAAUCGACGACGCAGUUCCCCGUUUCCGUUUGCCGCCGCUUCAACUGAGGCUCUCUGGCCCCCAGCGGCGCCGCGCCGCCUGCUGCUCUCUUGCCGACUAGCAUCGUGAGAAAUUUCUUUCUCUUCCUUUCGUCUUGCAACUCGCUUUUCAACCGCCUCGCACCAGGGAACUGUGCAUGGACGCACGUUUCUCAACUUGCAAAGAUUUCGGCCGAGCCGGAAGAACGAAACGCGUCUCUCCAGCGCCAAAAGGUCCAAGAAGUCCACGCCUGCAGGCCAACGGCGUGAAGCAGGACCGAAAGGAAAACAGCAGCAGAAGGAAAUCCUAAAUCGACGUGUUUGCGUCGUACUCCUCAAUGCAAAGCGAGAAGAGACGACGGACACCCCGGCAGGUUGCCUCGACAGGCUGCCUAGAUGCCCAAGCACAUCCUCCGUAUACACGGAAAAAUCUGGACGAUUAUAUGUCCUUUUGAGAAGAGUUGAUACCCUGUUGAUGCAACAGGCGUCCGUUUUUUGGCGACGGAAGAUCGGUUGGAAAGCUUUUGCGUCGCUUCAGCUCACAACAGACGUUCGUCCCAGCGCACGUCAAGCGGCCAGUCGCGAGACAAGACCACGAAGCAGGAACGACGUGUGGCUCUCCCCCAAAAACUUUGGUACCUUCUUUCCAACCCAGGCAAAAAAUCGGCCCCGCGGCAACUUUUUUACGACUUUGAGCGAAUCCUCCCCAAUUUUAAAGCCAGCUGACGUUGUCGCUAAGAAGCAUGCAUGCACAGAACAGAAAUGAGAGGCGCGCGAGAGAGAGGCUUUGUGCCGCCGAUUUCCCGGGAGAGGGCGCGCGGCAAGAAUCGGGAGAAGAUCGGGAAAGCGGAGAAACGGGGUGACAGAAACACUGGCGAACGGAUACCAGUAACGGUCGCCACCAAGCGGAGCGAAGGCGCACAAGGCGGAGAACCAGGCUCAUCAGAAAGGCCAGAAAGUGUGCACCGCGUAUGAGAGCCCGCCAGUGCCUCGCUGCUGGUCGUCUGGGAUCAUCUUUUGACGGCACGAGGCAAGUGUUGUCCAUACGUUGCUCAACAAGCGUUCAACCAGUUACUAAACAGGUGCUAGUCCAACAAAAAGGCCCGGUAUCGACGCGAGAGCCCAUCUCGAGCGCCAACAGCGGGUACACGGACGAGUCGUUGAACACAAAACUGUGCACGCAUCCCGAGGGGACAGCGAGGGAAUGACGCCCUGGCGAUGGAAAGAGGCGGAACAAAAAGCCAGAGCGUCUCUAGCUGGAGGUAUAGGGAACUGCGAACCAGGUAAGAAACACAGAGAGCAAGGUCUCGGGGGGACGGGGGGGGGGGGGGCGUGUCAAGCAAGCGAGCGGAGCCGAGGGAAAAGUGGAACUGCCUUCGUCGGACCCAAGAGCAGGUGUCGCUGCGGGUUUUCCACCAAGUGAGGUACAUGUACAGCCGGUUGUGAAAACGAGUGGACCGUGCGGCUGAGGAGGACUCGCCUACGGGACAGGAGUCAAAAUGUGAAGGCUUGGCCAGCGUGAAACACGCAUCGCGAUCCACAGACACACCAAAAACUGGCGCCCGUCCCCUGCUGUGGUGCACCCGUCGGCCUCGGGGGACUCAAGUGUAAGAAUAGGUAUCAAGUGUAAGAAUAGGUAUCAAGUGUAAGAAUAGGUAUCAAGUGUAAGAAUAGGUAUCAAGUGUAAGGAUAGGUAUCAAGUGUAAGAAUAGGUAUCAAGUGUAAGGAUAGGUAUCAAGUGUAAGAAUAGGUAUCAAGUGUAAGGAUAGGUAUCAAGUGUAAGAAUAGGUAUCAAGUGUAAGAAUAGGUAUCAAGUGUAAGAAUAGGUAUCAAGUGUAAGAAUAGGUAUCAAGUGUAAGGAUAGGUAUCAAGUGUAAGAAUAGGUAUCAAGUGUAAGGAUAGGUAUCAAGUGUAAGGAUAGGUAUCAAGUGUAAGAAUAGGUAUCAAGUGUAAGAAUAGGUAUCAAGUGUAAGGAUAGGUAUCAAGUGUAAGAAUAGGUAUCAAGUGUAAGGAUAGGUAUCAAGUGUAAGAAUAGGUAUCAAGUGUAAGAAUAGGUAUCAAGUGUAAGAAUAGGUAUCAAGUGUAAGAACAGCAUGGGAAACCUGAUGGCAUGUGCAAGUGAAUGUACACCCACUCUCGCCUCACUACCUGGAGUUGUCUACACAGUUGAGUCCGUUCCUCUGGGGGGGGGGGGGGGGCGGCGUACACUGACAAACGCAUACACCAGCUUAGUGGAGUUCGUUAGUCUGCGAGUUCUGUCACUCCCGCGACUGCUUUACACACGAGUGUCCCACACAAACGUUCAAAACUGGGCGUUGAGUCAGCGCCUGGUUGCGUGUUGCGAGUCCGUUUCGGACAGCCCCAACCGUAUUCUAGAAGAGCUGGAGGGAGUGCGGCGCAGAAGAGAGAGAUUCUGACGCAACUGCUGAAGGACAAAGAGCGGGAGAUAGUCAGCAAAGAGCGAGGGGCCGACUCACAAGGGGAGGAGUUUUCGAAAGGGUUCAUCAGCGACGGGGGGAGAAAGCCUCUCUGUCGAGGUCUUUCAAGUCCAGAAGAGCGCUGUCCACACGAGAGAAGGAGGGAAGUGAUACGCUCUCCUUGGGGCUGCAGUGUGUAGCGUUGCCUCUCCUAAUUCCGCGCGUGCUUCGAUACUCUCCAUACCCUCCAAACCAGAGAAAGAAUCGUGCCGGUCCCGUGGUUCGAGUUGCCUGUACCGUGUGUGAAGUUUUCACAAGAAGUCGGUUGCAGAGCUGCAGUGUGUCAUUCCCAGAAACGACUGAGUCAGCAAAUGGAGAAAGGAGCACGUGUAUGUUAUGCAGUGUCAUCGGAGGUAAAGUCUAGAUUUAGAUCGAGAUUUAGCAUUUUUCUACAGCUCGUUGCCUCCAGACCGCGCCGCCAACGGGGAAGUCCCACGAGAAGAAAAAGGGUUCUUUUUGUUCGAGACGCGUUCAGUUUUGGACCAAAAAAACCUCUACUUUUCGAGUCAUCCACAUCGAGACAGAGGGAAACCGUUCUCAUAGGAUGCGCUUGUCGGAGACGAGAGACUGGAUAUAGAAAACAUGGAACGCAGAGGUGGUGAUGAGGCAGGCGAAUUCGACAACCGCCAACCAGAAGAGUUUCGAGUGCAACGCUGUGGCUGCCUCAGCGUGCGAGCGCUGUCGGAUCCCCAAGUACGUCGAUUCCGCCUGUACCGAACCAAAAAGACGCAGCACACAGCUCUCGCUGCAGGAAUGAAAACGCGCUCCGGGACUGCCGCAAAGUGAAGCCACGGAGACACAAUGCCAGGGGACUGCCACGCCCCACAACGAACUCCAGGACACCCCUGGCAGAGACAAACGACUCGACACCCGUUCGAGAAGCGAAGACGCGCGAAAUCCCCCUGGCUCAAUUGGAACACUGCUUUCACCGACGGCACGUCAUUCUCUGUGAAGGCUGGCAGAAACCGACGCGUGCUUUCCAAAGAAGACAGACACAGUUCGGCCUCGAGAUUCUGUCUUCGAAGAGAAAACACGGCGCACCAGUUUUGUCGGCAGCAAAACCCAAUUCUCUCCCGUUUCCGUGUCUGUGGUAGCAGGCACGCAUUCUUCGCUGGCAAAGAAGAAAAAAGGAGCUGGGAAAAAGGCUGCGUCUUUGGCUCCUCAAAUCGCUUGUGCCCGCCUGUCUUUUUUUCCACCUUGUAUCUUUCGAAGCCUCCUCCCAGUCUUUCCCUGUUGCGAGAGCGUUUCCGGCAGAUGCACGCACUUUGGGGUGACUGCUCCCGUGCGACAAAAUUCUUUCCCGUCCUCACCUGAAUAUCUCGGAGCUGGCCUUGUAAAGUGUCGACCAUCUCGCCCGCAGUUUGCACGUGUUUGGGCAUCAACGCCGUCUCGUUUCCUCGGCCGAUGGCGAAAGUGACCAUCCGGCUCUCCAACCACCUGUUCACGACCAAUCGGGACACACACGCUCUGUUCAGAAUGGGAAUGUAAACGAUGACGCACAGAGACACACACGUGUGUACUCUGCGAGAGGGUUUUUACCCCUGGGUUGUGUGGCGCGUGCGUCGACAAUUUUUAGGUGGCUACGUGCAUUUAUGCAUGCAGGAAGUGCGACGACUUGUUAUUUCUCUGCAACGACGCGUGACGGGACAACAAAAAACGAGGCAACAACUGCCUUAUACACCUCGCAGCUUUACGGCUGAACAGACCGCUCCCGUCCAUGUGUCAAGGGUUCUCGCGUCCAGCGAAGCUCCACAUACAGCUUGCCAAGAAAAGCGGCGGGAGAUUCUUCGCACUUCCUGCGGGUCUCGCAAGAAACGGCCGUGAGGGCCCAGUCUCCCCUCUGUCUCUUCCUUACUGAUGGUUGGAGACAAUGAACGAGAUCCGUGAUGGAGAAAUCCACAGCGGAGGACGCUUCGUCGCCUCCCACAAAGAAGCCUCCUCGGAGGUGCACAGCUCCGUCGUUCGCGUCAAUGUGCUCGUAGAAAUACUCGUCGCUUCGUGGAGCCAACGGGAAGGUGACCUGCGGAGAGAAGUCGGACGUGCAACAAACGACAGCAUGCAUUUUGUGCAAGAUCCAUGCCUGCAUUCCCCACAACGACUUCGGCUGUGUGGCAGCCAGCGUAAACAGAGAGAAACCAGGGGAAGUCCACAGAUCUCCUGUUCGUAGCCAGAUGCGCGCGCGCGCGCAUCUGGCUAGGCCACGAGCUCCCGUCACACCAGAACUGGGGCUUCCUCCGACUGGAAGAGUCUUUCGGCGCCUGACUACUGUCUGCGUCCAAAAUGAGACAGAGGCGGUGUAGACACGGGGAAGACGAUCUCUCACCCUUUCUCUACGCGUCGGUCCCUCCAGAGUGAAACGGGAAGACAGCAGCGUCGGUUGGCAACACAGGCUGCCCGCCAGCGCGCCCGUCGCGAGCGGGUUCUUUUUGCCUCACCAGCAUUUCUGGAAUGAAGUUCUGCAUGUGCUUCUCCCACUCUUCCAUGAGGGAACUGGUGCCGUCUUCCUCGUCGUCAUCGAAGAGCUGUCGAAAAAGGGAACACACCGCAAACCAAACACGGCGCUUGGCUCUGGACGAAAGCCUCCCGUCCUUCCGCAUGCGGUCCCGGGCUCUCGCGAGAGUUCCCCCCCCAAACGUGAGGCGAAACCAACGUUCCCUCCCACAUCCCAGCCCCGCUCCACUUUCCGCGAUCUCUCUGCAGUGCCCGCGUGCUCCACCGCUCUUCUCCCCACCUCUUUCCAGAAAGGUCUCCGCCGUUCCCCUCGCCUACCUGUCCCUCAUCUUCGCGGCGAAUGCGCUCCUCCACGUCGCCUUCAUCCUCGCUGUCGUCAUCCGGAGCCGCCGGCUUCAUCUCCGCC